rnacentral:rRNA from 1 species
GAUGAACGCUGGCGGCGUGCUUAACACAUGCAAGUCGAACGGAGUUAUCAUUUUUGAAGCGAUUAGCUUGCUAAGAGUGGAAAAGUUGAUAACUUAGUGGCGGACGGGUGAGUAACGCGUGGGUAACCUGCCUUACACAGGGGGAUAACACUUAGAAAUAGGUGCUAAUACCGCAUAAGCGCACAGUCCCGCAUGGGACAGAGUGAAAAACAUUAGUGGUGUAAGAUGGACCCGCGUCUGAUUAGCUUGUUGGCGGGGUAACGGCCCACCAAGGCGACGAUCAGUAGCCGGCCUGAGAGGGUGGACGGCCACAUUGGGACUGAGACACGGCCCAA